UGGAAGCAUAAAUUUUUAGAUCAGUGAUAAGAUAAAUCCUGUGUACCGGUGCUUAGUAGCUAGCGAAAUGCGGCUGGUAUUUUUGGUCUGUAUGUAGGUAGCUUCCUGAUGUGUGUGGCUGUGUGUUCAUUCACACAGACCUGAACUUAUUUAUGUUUUUCGUUGGCUUCAUUUUAGUAAAGAUGGGGUGGGGAAAAACUACACCCUAUAUAUGUAAGUUGACUGAAAAUAAUAAUAUGUUCCAGUAGCUAUAUUUCUUCGGUUCCUAACAUGGUUGUAGGCUAGAUGUUCCUCUUGGUUUGUCUUGCUAUAGAACCUGCCCCUAUUCAUCUGUUACACAUUUUGUGUAGCUAUUAAGGAAGAAAGUAAUGGACAUUCACAGGUCAGAGUCUCCCCAUCAGCAUUUGAUGGCAGGAGCCGCUGCUUUACAGAAGAUGGAUGUGAAACCAAAAUCAUAUUUUACUAACUUUUAUUUACUUCAUAUUAUCAUUUAGCAGUAUGUUGGUUGUGCCUCCCCGUGAUCAAUGUAGAUCUUCUGCAGAUGUAGUGCAUGCAGUUCUCUCAGGCGUUAAACUUCUCAAUGGUUGACCAUGGAAAAUCUGUGUAGCUCUUGUUUUCUCCAUAUGUUUCUGGUUUCGAGCUCUUACUCCUUUUGAAAUUACCAUCUUUAAACAUUGUAGAUUCCAAUCUCUUGUGUAUUUACAUCAAAGACUGUUUUCGAAUGCUUAUUAUGUACUAAACUCCCUGCCCCCUCCUUCUGUCACAUGUGUUGUUCCCUUGUCAUCAGUGAGCUCGAGAAAACACAACUACAAGGUACAGAAUAGUUGCCACUUAGUUAGCAUUUUAGUUAACAUUGUAGACAUGUUAGUAACACUAUAAUGUUGGACAAUAAAUGAAUUCGACUACAUCCAAAGGAACUUAUCUUGCUUCCAAGAAUAGUAAAAUCAUCUUUAAUAUUUUUCCAAAUUUCGCUUAUAUUCAUAUUUCUUAACAUGUUUGGAAUGCCGUUUCCUCCGAAAUGCAGCAUUUACCUUCCAUUUGGAGCAUAGGAUGCAUUUUUAUCAGUUCCUGACUGAAAUAACCACUUUUCUGAUAAAAAUGCUAUCCAUCAGUUAGACUUGAUUAAUUGUCUUCUAGACACACCUUCAAAUAUAUAUAAGUUCUCUGAUAAGGUAGUUGUGGGAAGACUUAUUUUUGGUUUACAUUGUAAAAAAAUUCAAUGACCACAGAUUUGACUUUCUUUUUUGCUUCUUUUCAGCUUUCAGGUCCUAAAUGAGAAGGUAAGGAUGUACUUGAGCAGUAUGAGAAGACCCAGUUCCAUCAUCUCAGAAGCUAGAAGUUCCCCAUUUAAUAUCUUUCAUUCUGAAAUUUGUUUAAGAAGAUGGUCAUUCUUCUAUUAGCAGCACGAUUAUGUGUCAAUUGUAGAUUCUUAAUUGCUUAGAAAUAUUUUAUAUGUUUGAUUCCUUCGAUUCAUAUUUAUUCAACAACAAAAUAUUUUCAAGAUUGGUCCGUUUGAGGAUCAAAUUUCAGACGUGUUAAUUGAUGUGGUAUCAAGCUAAGUCUG
rnacentral:lncRNA from 1 species